UUCAUCCCUUACCUUUGCAUUUUUCACAGCAAGAUCCUACAGGCUCACAUUAACAUAUUUGCACCUAUUUAAACAAACUGAGCCUACAUAUUCAGUACAGACAAUUGUUCAUGAGAUUAUAAACUCACCAGGGCAAAGAGGAAACAGUUUCAACAUGUAACACGGGAAAAGAUGAAGCCAUGAACAAACUGAAAACGUCAGUAGAAGUUAUAUGUAAAACAAGUAAGACCACAAAUGAACCAUAAUCAAGCUUUCCUUUUCCUUUAAAGUGGUUUCAAUUAACCAAAAACCCAUUCUAAUCCAUCAGUAAGGAAUAUAGGAAAACAUCUUCAUGAUGUAAACAGAUUUGAAUGCAACCGACAAAUGGUGUGGAAGACACCAGGAUAGAUUUCAAUAUUAUGUCUUUAAUCCUUAACUUCAAAAUCAAUACAAUGAUCAAGCUUAAAUCAAUUGGGUCAUCUAAGCACAUGGAAUUAUGUCUAUCCCUCGUAUUCCUAUUCGCAUCCUCCAGUCUCAAUAGGCAUAAAACGUUCAAAACAGAAAAGCAUGUCAAAUUUCAAGCAAAUACCAAAACCUCACAAAAUUGCUCCCAGAAUACAAAUACCAUGAAUGCUAAUGUCUUAUCUACACAAGGAUUCAGUUAGAGCCUAUUUAGAAACUUAAUGAUCUUGCAUAAGGUACCUUAGGCCAACAAUAGUCAAGGUUUGGUUAGCCAAAUAGAUCUAAAGAAGCUAAACAAAAGACAGAGUUUGAACAAGUCAUAGAAUCAUACGACAAGAAAAUAACUACAACAUUGCUGGCAACUAGUACAUAACCCGACAUUGCACUAUCACAAAUCCUCGAACUCACUUCUAUCAACGUCCAAUUGAAACUAAAACUUUCAAAUCCCAGGCUACUAUCACACUUCAAUCACACCAUAAUAGAACAAAAGAGAGUAUGGAAAUGAACCUGAGAAUAUUUUCGAUUAAACUUCGGCGCGAAUAUACAAUGAGAAAAUCCAGCGACAAAUCUAAUCGAACUGAGAAGGUAACUAUGGCCGGAAAUCGACACCUCGAGCAGUGACAUACCCAAUGACUCCUCAAUCGAACUCCAUUCUUGGACAAAAAUUCAUAGAAGAAUACGAACUAUUUUUUUUAUAUUUUCUGGUAUCGAAACAGAAUUAAGAACAAGAAAGGAACUGAAAAUAUUCUUUUAUCUUUUUUUUUUUUUGGAAUCUCAAACGAAAAGAUCAAGAAAGCACAAAUCCAAAACCCUAAAAUCUAACCCGAUUUUUUUUUUCAAAAGCCAUCUGAUUUCUCUCUUUUGUAGCUCGAAAUCGAACAAAUGGAGGGUCUAGAAUGAUACUUCAUUCAAUCUACGGCCCCCAUUCAUUUGAUUCGAAUUUGCAGAGCAAGAAACAUGUAGAAAUGAUGAACUUUGCACGGAUUGAGUAACGUGGAAGAAAGAGAGGAGAGGAGGGGGACCAUGGGGGGACCAAUGAGCUAACUCGCCGAGUUGGCGAGUUUGGGGUAAGGGAAGCGGCAGAGGCGUGGAUAGGGCUGGGGUGCGACUGAAGGUUUGUUAGCUAGGUUUAGUAUUUUAUUUUGGUUUAAUAUGGGGUGUGGGGAAAAUAAUCUCGUCCGUAGUAUUAAAGGGGGUGG
rnacentral:lncRNA from 1 species